rnacentral:pre_miRNA from 1 species
UUGUUACUCCCUCUGUCCGGAAAUACUUGUCCUAGGAAUGGUUGUAUCUAGACUUAUUUUACUUAUAGAUACAUCCAUUCCUAGGACAAGUAUUUCCGGACGGAGGGAGUACUAG